rnacentral:sRNA from 1 species
GCUGGGCAUGGUGGCACAUGCCUGUAAUCCCAGUGGCUCGGGAGGCUGAGGCAGGAGGAUUGCGAGUUCAUAGUCUCCGCAACUUGGCAAGGCCCUAAGCAACUCAGAAAGACCCUGUCAU